rnacentral:rRNA from 1 species
AGGGUUUGAUCCUGGCUCAGAUUGAACGCUAGCGGGAUGCCUUACACAUGCAAGUCGAACGGCAGCACGGACUUCGGUCUGGUGGCGAGUGGCGAACGGGUGAGUAAUGUAUCGGAACGUGCCCAGUAGCGGGGGAUAACUACGCGAAAGCGUAGCUAAUACCGCAUACGCCCUACGGGGGAAAGCAGGGGAUCGUAAGACCUUGCACUAUUGGAGCGGCCGAUAUCGGAUUAGCUAGUUGGUGGGGUAACGGCUCACCAAGGCGACGAUCCGUAGCUGGUUUGAGAGGACGACCAGCCACACUGGGACUGAGACACGGCCCAGACUCCUACGGGAGGCAGCAGUGGGGAAUUUUGGACAAUGGGGGAAACCCUGAUCCAGCCAUCCCGCGUGUGCGAUGAAGGCCUUCGGGUUGUAAAGCACUUUUGGCAGGAAAGAAACGUCAUGGGUUAAUACCCCGUGAAACUGACGGUACCUGCAGAAUAAGCACCGGCUAACUACGUGCCAGCAGCCGCGGUAAUACGUAGGGUGCAAGCGUUAAUCGGAAUUACUGGGCGUAAAGCGUGCGCAGGCGGUUCGGAAAGAAAGAUGUGAAAUCCCAGAGCUUAACUUUGGAACUGCAUUUUUAACUACCGGGCUAGAGUGUGUCAGAGGGAGGUGGAAUUCCGCGUGUAGCAGUGAAAUGCGUAGAUAUGCGGAGGAACACCGAUGGCGAAGGCAGCCUCCUGGGAUAACACUGACGCUCAUGCACGAAAGCGUGGGGAGCAAACAGGAUUAGAUACCCCGGUAGUCCACGCCCUAAACGAUGUCAACUAGCUGUUGGGGCCUUCGGGCCUUGGUAGCGCAGCUAACGCGUGAAGUUG